UUUCCGUAGGUGAACCUGCGGAAGGAUCAUUAAUGAGGGCGUGUGGGGCUUAAUAUCCCCCACGAACCCUAAUCCUUUGUUUACUGCCCCAUUGUGGUUUACUUGGGUUCGGUUUGGCUUCAACUUUUUUUUUUUUUGGGGUCGUAUGUGCCCAAAAGGCUGCCACAGUUUAAAAAUCUGGUUAAAUACGGUGAUGUCUGAGCAAAUUAUUUAAAUAAGCAAAACUUUCAACAACGGAUCUCUUGGUUCCGGCAUCGAUGAAGAACGCAGCGAAAUGCGAUAAGUAAUGUGGACCGCAGUACUCAGCGACUCAUCGAAUCUUUGAACGCACAUUGCGCCCCUUGGUGUCCCCAAAGGGCACACCUGUUCGAGCGUCAUCAUACAUUGCAUCAGGCUAAGGGCCCGGCUUGCGUUGGGCUUUUUCUAUCUAUGGAAAGGUCUUAAAAUCAGUGGCUGUUAAGUUAGGCAUUCCAGCGUAGUGAUUAUAUUAGCUGUUGAAAUAUCUUUUUACAAUAACAGUCAACACGUCCAAGGUUUCUGCUGGCGGAGACCUGCUUGGAUUUAUUAUCAAAUAUUGACCUCGGAUCAGGUGAGGAUACCCGCUGAAUUUAA
rnacentral:misc_RNA from 1 species